AGCAAGACUGGAAGAGCUUCUCUGUUUUCGGUUUCACUUUUGGGCUUGCGUACAGACGGCUACCACGUUGGCUGGCUAAGUUGCUCUAGCCUUCAUGGAGUAGCUGAUGGAAGCGGAAGCAGACACCCACAACUAAACACUGACCUGAACUCUGGAAUCCAGUUGCAGAGAGGGAGGAGUGUUGAGCAAAGGGGUCAAGACCAGGCUAUAGAAACCCACAGAAACAGCUGUCCUGAACAAGGGGUUGCUCAUGGAUCCCAGACUGAUAGCUGGGAAACCAGCAAAGGACUGUUCCAGACCCCCUGAAGGAGGAAGCCAGUUUGGAGGUCUGGACAAUCUACAGGGCCUCUGGUAGUGGAUCAGUAUUUACUCCGAGUACACAAAUGAACUUUGGGAGCCCUCUCUUCAUAGAGGGAUACUCUUGCAGCCUAGACACACUGGGGAGGGUCUAGGCCCUGCUCCAAAUGAUAUGACAGACUUUGAAGAUUACCCAAAGAGGGCCUCACCCUCCCUGGGGAGCAGAAAGGGG
rnacentral:lncRNA from 1 species